GCUAGUAAUGGCAGGUCAGCAUACUGCCGUGAAUACGUUCCCGGGCCCUUGUACACACCGCCCGUCACACCAUGAGAGUUGGGAAUACCCGAAGCCUGUGAGCUAACUUAUAGAGGCAGCAGUCGAAGGUAGAAUCAAUGAUUGGGGUGAAGUCGUAACAAGGUACC
rnacentral:rRNA from 1 species